GAAAUGCGAUACGCAAUGCGAAUUGCAGAAUUCCGCGAGUCAUCAGAUCUUUGAACGCAAACUGCGCCGAACAGACACCUGUUCGGCAUGUUUGUUUCAGUGUGUUUGUUGCCAUCACAAACCUCAAUGCGAUUGAAGCCUUACGGCUUCUCUCGUGAAAAAGGAAGCGCUUGGAUUCCAAGCCCUCUGUAGCGGUCACUUGCAAAAGUGAUGUACAUUGGGCAUCACUGGGUCCUCGUUAUUUUUAACUAAAUAUCAGCGCAACUUCUCUUCAAUCGCACCUGAAAUCAAGCAAGAUAACCCGCUGAACUUAA
rnacentral:misc_RNA from 1 species